GCUGUUCGAUAAGGCAGCGUCCGUGGUGGCUGCUACGAGCUCCGGUGCCUCGGUAGCCCAACCAUCGUCUUGACGGCGACCGACUUCUGCCCACCCAACUUUGGACUUGCGGGCGUCUUUGGUGGCCGGUGCAAGUUCCCCAAGAGGCAUCUCAAGAUGACUGAGGUCGCGUUCCUCUGGGUCACCAAGGCAAAGUCCCAACAUUAUCCGGAUACAAUUUCGAAGGGCUGGAGGAGAAGAGCAAAAUCACAGAGGUGCAGGUUCUUGGCUAGGUGGUGUGAUGUGUUAGAGUAGGGUGACCUAAUGGCCAGAGGGGAUCUAGGCGUCCUGACGGCCAGUGGAGAUCGUGGCGCAGGUGCUACAUAGGGAAGAAGGUGCUGCCUGGAGAUCUAGGCGGCAUGAUGACCAGAUGAAUCUGGGUGACCUGAUGGAUCGAGGCGGAGGUGCUGCCGAGGUGGAAGAUAGAAGAGGACAGUGAUAAGAUCGUUGGACAGUGAUAGGAUCGUUAUUGAAGACCACAAUGUUGGAUCGCGAUUCGGCAGUGUACCGAUGUAAUUUUGCUUCCUUUUCACCUGGUCGAAAAUAUCUAAAACAUCUUAUAUAUUAACACGGAGGCAUUAUUUGCUACAA